UGCGUAGGGGGCAAGCGUUGUUCGGAAUUACUGGGCGUAAAGGGCGCGUAGGCGGCACAGCAAGUCGGGAGUGAAAGCCCGGGGCUCAACCCCGGAAUGGCUUUCGAAACUGCUGAGCUAGAGUACAGAAGGGGCAACCGGAAUUCCCAGUGUAGCGGUGAAAUGCGUAGAUAUUGGGAAGAACACCUGAGGCGAAGGCGGGUUGCUGGGCUGAUACUGACGCUGAGGCGCGAAAGCCAGGGGAGCAAACGGG
rnacentral:rRNA from 1 species